GUAACGCCGCAUGGCUCGGGCUCUGUCCGGGUCUCGCGGGAGAAGGCCUCGGUACGCUCGGUGAUCCAGGCCAAUUGGAAGCAGCUGGCGAAGCCAUGCUUUGAGAGGACGGAAAAGGACUGCCGUCGAUAUGACCUGAUAAUCGAGCUAGCAGGCGAAUGCCCUACUUGAACGUUACUGCAAGGCCCUGGUGAUGACGUUGGCAUGAGACCAGCGGGACUAGGGACGUGCAUCGGAUUCAAAGGACUAUUGGCGACGAGACCUGAUCCAGGAGAUGGAUGCGGUAGCAUGUUAGGAGUAUUCGGCGGUAGUGACGGUGGUGAUGCUAAGUUGAACGAAGUUGCGGGACUACUUCCGAAACUUUGAUGCUGACUGGCCUAAAAUAAUAAGAGAAGUUAGUAACGAAUAAUCGACGUAUCAUUACGUUUGAUCUUAGCUGAACAUUUCACCUGGGAUAUAUUUGCGGUAUGAGGACUGGCCGGUGUGUGAGGAUUACUACCGGAAGGCGGUGUGAGUGGCGGAUGAAACCUCAAGCCUUCGCGUUGUUGCGCGGGUGACUGCGGUCCGCCUCUGUGGUGACCGAGAAAGCCCACGUUACCUCCUGCACCAUCACUGUCCAUAGUGACGGGCGACGGUGGAUUGUCAUCUUCCGAUUGAGAUCUCCGCCUGAACACUGCACUUUCAUCGACAUACUUGGACAAAAAGCCCUAUAAUGCAAAUAUCGAAAUAUGAUUAACGAGUUUGUAUUCAUAUUCAGAAUAUUCUAAAAUAUAAAAAAAUAUAUAUACUCUGUACAAAUAUUACAUAUAACAUUAUUUUUUGAUACUAUAUAGUACUAUAUAUGUGUAUUAAUAUAUAUUAUUACCUUUAGACCUUGCGUGGGUGUAAACUCCUCGACAACGUUACUGCGAUCAAAACGGCUGUAAGCUCCAUCGCGUAAGCUUACUAAACCUCCGCCUCGCAAACGUAACUCCAAACAAUACAUUCCUUGGUACGCUAUUCUUACUAAAGUCACACUCUGUGGCAUUAUAGUGAAAGUUUGUACUGGCACUUGUGGUCUCUGGAAAAAAAUACGUUACGAAGAUGAUGGCGUAAUCUGAUUUUAAGAAGGGCGUACGUAUACAAGUAUGUAUAAAUGUACAUGUCCUUACAGUGUUAUGCACGCAUAAUUGAGGAAUUGUUGACAAUUUACUAAUCGACGUAAGUGGUUGGAGCGUCUCAUGAAAUAUAUGAAUAAGUUGUGCCAAAUUCAUGUGCCUGUUUAAAUGGGCCUCUAAUUGCUCCUUCAUUAAAGAAUGCGCGUUAGAUAUUGUAUUUGUUGGACCUAUAAGUUACAUGGGUUAUAAGCGAGCUCUCCAUCAUUACGCGCCUCUAUUGACCGAAAACUCUGGAUUAAUUUUUUUUAAUCCAGAGUUAACGUGAAAACUCACUCUUUCCAAAUAUAAGCUUAAAGGCUUUUUCGGCUAUACUCCAUUGCACAGUCACAGCCGCACCAUGAUUUGGGCCGUACGCGAGAACCAAUUUGCUAUAAUUAUAUGAUUUAAUACUAACCAUGUUACGUAAAUUGUACUUCUCUGGAAUAAAAAACAAAAUCAUUGAAUGAGACAACGAAA